rnacentral:snRNA from 1 species
GUGCUCACUUCAGCAGCACAUAUACUAAAACUGGAACAUUACAGAGAAGAUUAGCAUGGCCUCUGGGCAAGGAUGCCGUGCAAAUUCAUGAAGCGUUCCAUGUUUUU